AGAUGCUUCUGGGUCGCGGUGUGCUAAGCGAGGAGUCCGAGUGUGUGAGCUUGAGAGCCGCGCGCUAGAGCGACCCGGCGAGGGAUGGCGGCCACCGGGACCGCGGCCGCCGCAGCCACGGGCAGGCUCCUGCUUCUGCUGCUGGUGGGGCUCACGGCGCCUGCCUUGGCGCUGGCCGGCUACAUCGAGGCUCUUGCAGCCAAUGCCGGAACAGGAUUUGCUGUUGCUGAGCCUCAAAUCGCAAUGUUUUGUGGGAAGUUAAAUAUGCAUGUGAACAUUCAGACUGGGAAAUGGGAACCUGAUCCAACAGGCACCAAGAGCUGCUUUGAAACAAAAGAAGAAGUUCUUCAGUACUGUCAGGAGAUGUAUCCAGAGCUACAGAUCACAAAUGUGAUGGAGGCAAACCAGCGGACAAAGAUUAUUGGAUCUGUGUCAAAAGAAGAGGAGGAGGAAGAGGAGGAGGAAGAGGAAGAGGAAGAGGAAGACUAUGAUGUUUAUAAAAGUGAAUUUCCUACUGAAGCAGAUCUGGAAGACUUCACAGAAGCAGCUGUGGAUGAGGAUGAUGAGGAUGAGGAA
rnacentral:sRNA from 1 species